rnacentral:misc_RNA from 1 species
CUCCGGAUGCUCCCAUAGCAACGUUGAUAGUAACUUGUCUGCAUAUCCAAAAUGGGACCUUGUGUUUAUAAAUAAUUUAAUAUGCCAUAGGUUUAGCUACUUGAAAUACAUCUUGAUUCAACAAUGUCGGAGGCAUUGCAAGGAUUAUUCUCUGAUGCGAAAAAAGGAAAAUAUUCAAGCAUAAGAGACACAUUAUCAGAGGAUGAUGUUGCUUCUAUUUGGGAAAAUGUUUGUGGGUUUAUUGCAAAGCAGAUGACCCAACAGAAGGGAGUGAAUAUCGGUGGAUUAGGUACAUUUACCUUUUCACAACAAAAGUUGGAUAUUGGCAACAAAAAGUUUCUUUUAAUGCAGAGGCCAGUUUUUAACAUUGCAGAGAAGUUUGCACAAACCCAUGCCUUACAUACUUCAAAACGCUAUGCUCCAGGACAAAUUCCGGUGGUACCACUCAACUAUGCAGCAGUGUCGUUUGAAAGCCCGUUUGAUCGGGACACGGUCGAGGGCUGCGUGAGGGAAAUACUGAAUGCCAUCACACGAGCUCUUGGUGCUAGGAGAAAUGUAGAAUUGUUGUUUCCUGGUGUUGGGAGAUUGUCCAUUCGUGAGAUGAAGGUGAAAAUGAAAUUCUUCAAAGAAUUCAUCAAUGAGCUGGAUGGGUCUGGGCGGCUAAUGGACUCCUUACAGAAUCGUCCGGGAACUGUGGAUUCCGUCAUGUCUGACCGGACAAUCUCCCGCUGUGGAAGCAGCACGCUGGUCCUCCCCAACCCUAGGGGAGCAAGGAUUACCUCCCACAAUCAAAGUGAACAAGUCAAGUGCCUUAGCCCUGUGUGCGAGGAGGGUGUCAACCCCCUGGACCAGGGAAAAGACCCCGGGGACAUGAGCGCCCGCCAGCUGGCUGAAGCCCUAGCUGAGAAGUACGCGUGUCGGUCCGAGCGUGUUCCGGUGUGUGAGGACUCCAGUGAGGGUCACUACGUGCCUGCGUGUGACGAGCCCAUGUCACAGGAAAUGGAGGAGGGGAUGGAGGGACCUGAGGUGGGAGACAUAAUGACGGCUACCGCCCUCGAAAACAUACUGAAAGAGGGGGAGCCCAUGCAUAACCUGCAUGAAUACAUACCCGAACCACAGUUUUCACAUCUCGAAGAGCCCAAGAAGAGUGUGACAAUCAUAUCCCGAGCGUGCUCUCGACAAACCAUGCAGUUGCCAUGUGCAAGUGGUAUCAACAUCUAUGAAGAACUCAAUCCAGAAGCACCUGGCUUCCAAACAUCUCCACCUUGCCAGACACCUCAGCCAUGCAGAAUCCCACAUCCAGUAACGGCUCCAUCAUGCCGCCCCCCACCUGGCCAUCUGACGCCCAUCGAGCGACCAGCGACAGCGGAAUCAUCAUGCGGCCAUCCGAACGCGGGCCAGGAGCUGUGUUACUUGUGUCAUCAGAGGGCUCGUAGAAACAUCCCGGUAUCAUUCGCGGAGGAGCGGCGCAGACGUGAGGAGGAGGAGGAGAAACUCCUACACCAGUUCCACGUCAUGAAGGAUGCAGAGGACACCAUCAUGGAACAUGAAAAACAGAUUGGAAAAAGACAUGAACUUCAGAAGUUGGCUGCCUUCAAUAGUGGUGUUGCCGAAGCAACCAAUUCUAAGAAAAAGGCAAAAGAUAAUUGCUUUCAUAGAUCGUACAUAUUCCAGAGAAGACCGCUGACACCACCCCGGUUCCCCAAACAAGAGGAAUACAACAAGGAAUUGACCAAGCAGGUUCAAGCCAAUGAGGGUGUGAAACAAAAAGAAAAAGCCGAAACUGAAUUUUUAGAAAAACUUGAACAAGUUCAACUUGCUGAGGAUAUUGCUGCCCUGCGGGAGAAGCAGAUAAGGGAUAAAGCUGAGCAGAUGGAGAUGGUUAAGAGGGGUUUGGAAACACAGCUAAAGUUUAAGCCACUCCCUAUCCCAGCCUGUGAAGCAGAUGGUGAAAUAUUCGGUAAAAACGAUCUGACCAAUGAGAAAAUGUUGGAAAAAAGAAGAAAAGCUUAUGAACUGUUCCAGAGUCAGCAAGAGUUGGUGGCUCAGAAAAAACGAGAAACCAUCUUGAAAAAAUUAUGUGAACAGAAAGAGGAGGAAGAAAUUCUUGAGCGGACUAAGAGAGAGUUACUGGAUGACCGCGCCCACAGAUUCAAGACGCGGAUGAACACGCGUAAACACCUGGAGGACAACUGGUGUCGAACGGUGCACAUGAAGAGAGCGCGCGAUGCCGAGGAACAUCUGGCCUCACUCUGCCCUGAGGGUCUUGUCCAUGAACAGUGUGACAAGUACCGGCGCUGUCGACAGUGUCAGCGCAAGCUAGGCAAUAAGGGUGUUUCUGAUGUCCUUUUGAACAAGAAUUUGCGUUUCUUUUUGCUGUGAUAAUUGUGUACAUAGAUCUUAUAAAUGAGGUCAACAAAUGUUUUUUCCAUCUGCUAGACAGAUUUAUCCCUGGUGAAUUAAGCCACAUGGAUUGACACUCCACAGUUUGACUCCAUGAUAUACUGCCAUACACUAACAUAUUUGUGAAUGAUGCUGAAUGUUUCAAUCUACGUCUCACUUCUUUAUUGGACAGCAGAACCAAAGCAUGUAAUUGCAUGGUAAGACAGACUGAGAAACAAACCACAGUGGCAACUAACUCUUAUGGAAAAACAUGACAGCUGUUAGAACUGAUUUCAGAUUACUUGAUAAGUUGUGUGUAUAUGUUUUUUUUAUAAAACCUCUACAAGUUCCAUGUGCUAUACCCUUUAUUGAUUGUGUAUUUCUUUAUUCUGUUUUUAUUUAUAACUGAUGGGCCUUAAAAAUGUAAUGAAUACUCCCACACUGGUUAGGAUACAUAUUUUUAUUUACUAUGCCCGGAGGGGAAAGGGAGUAUGUUAUAUCCAGUAAAACUAAAAACUUGUAAUUCAUUUUGUAAAUAAUUUCACAUGACCCAUCAGUAAUUAAAAUUAUGUUCAGUAUUAUUUUUUAAAUAACUUUGUAGUAUUUUUUAAUUUUGUUUUUCAUCUGCUAGGCCGACAGGUGUGACACCGACACAGACCAUCUCGAGGUUAUUUCCUGUAAUAAUUUGUAGUUGUUCCAGAGUGCAUGCUUUGUCUUUUUCAGUUUGAUGCCUAGACCAAUUUGGUUAAUGUAUUUUGUGGGAAAUGAUUGUACCCAUAUUAUAUUAUAUAUUCUGAAACUAUGUCUCUGACAUGAAAUAAAUUUGUCUUCUGUU